UUAAAGUCCUUAUUGACAAUAUAUUUUAAAAUAUCUUUUUAAGUAAGAUGCAUCAAAUGCAUUAGGCUGCUUAGUUAUUUAAUCUGAUGUCUUUAUUUCCUCUUGCAUACCUGUGUAUUUAUUACAGCUGAACAUGAGGGUAUUUGGUGUAUGCAUAUUACAUACAGUAUUUCCUGAAGGUUAAUAAGAAUUUCUAUUUUCAAAUAACCAUCACAAUGACUUCAGUGCCCUGUGGACAUCAGUCUUCUGGUGGCAACCAAUAGCAAACAGAUAGUUCUUAAGGUCUGUAGUACUAAGAAGAGUUUCACAUUCAUGGCACCACAUGAAUAAGUGAGUUUUGGGACCCAAAUGUUGCUUUGAAUUAAAUGUGGUACAAAGAAAAAUUUGACUUUUUAGAAUAUCGUACUGUUUGGAAACAGAUACCUUUGGACGCUGCCUGCUUUGCAGGAAACACACUUAUUUAGUUUUUAAACUAGGACUGGUGUUUAGUUAAAUCUCCUGCGGACUCAGUUCACUGAAGGUGACAGAAGUACUCACUCGAACUCAAUGAGAAGUCGACGCGACUGUAAAUUUUUCAGGCAGCGACAGGAGAUCUUGUUAUAGGAGUCAGAACGGGGGUCAGGGCAGAGCCUGUUGAUGAUUGAGGAAAAGAGAAGUAAAUUCAUUCUGCUUCAGGCACUUUGUCAAGUGCCAGUAGCUUACCAUUGAGAGCUAGUCACCCGUUCUAGUCUUACAGCCCCAGAGGUCACUCAUUUGAUAUAAAUCAUAGCACCGCAUAGGCGCGGCAACCUAUUGCCACUCGGGAUGAAAUAAAAAAGAGGAAUGCUGCUUUCGGAAUGGAAAUGACUACGAAUAUCCCACCACAUGUUGCUGUUUAAUGCAAUAUGUGGUUAGAUAUUGAUCUCCCGAAUCAAGUCAUUAAAAUGUGCAGUUUUUGUUUAUUGGAAUGAAGCAAUUAAAUGGUUCAGUUAUGCCAGACCUUACCUUUUCUGAUGAAAACUAUUGAUUUCUUGCCACAGCUUUAUAAGCGACAAUGUUUUUGAUUACUCUUGACAAACCUCCUUGGAGUGUUAAUUAAAAUCGUACCAGAUGAGCAGGUGUGGGAGAUCAUUAGAUCGCCCGGAUCACACAUCUCCACUUCAUAUUCUGCAGCCUUGCAUAAUGAAUAGGGCACAAGAGGGGAAAAACAAUAUCUUCAUCAGCAGAAUUAGCAUCUUCACUUUUUAAAAAACUAGGUGACAUUACAUUUUAUAGUACAGAUGCUGUUGAAUCAUUGGCUCAUUCCUACCACUACAUUUGAUCAAAAUUUGCUUUUUAUGUUUUGCUUUAAUUUUUUGAGUAUCUAAUGAGUUGCUGUUGUUGGUUCUGAGGUAGAAAAUAUUUAAACACUUAUUUACACAGAAAAUUGAGGAAUCAAAUAAAGCUCUUUCACUGCUUAUGCAGAUGAAGUCAUGAAUAUUAAUGUGGUUCAUUUAACACUUAAAAAAAUCCCCUCAGUAAGAUAGCCUCGAUGUGAUUUUUAAAAAUCUUUUACUACUUAUUUUUGGGACCUGUAUAAAAUAUGAUUAUUUAGAAAUAUGCUCUCUUGAAGACUGCAGUCUGUUGAUUUACAAUAGAACUUUUUUUGUGGCUAUUAAAAGAUUGUUACAUUUGAAAAAUCAAAAAUACUUAAAUGAUAAUUUAUAAAAUCAGAAGCAAAUGAUAUUCAGUUUUUGAGAAAUGAAUAAUCUUUACAUUGAUGCCAUUUAUUAUGGAAGAUGAUUUAAUUAUUACUUCAUUAAUAUGGGCAUUGAAAUGGACUUUUUUUCGUUUUUGUAUAAUGCAAGGAAUUUAGCUAAUUGGAAUUAGAUUUAAAAUCCUCUGUGAACUGGUGUCUAUAGAUAGAAAGACAGCUUGUAUUUCUCAGAAUCAUAGGACCUGAAGAGAACUUUAAGAGGUCAUCUAAUCCAAUCCCCUGCUGCCAAAGUAGCUGUUUAAAAAUGCACUAUUUUUCAUUAGUCUGGAAUUUUAAAAAGGAUUAAUGAAUUUAUAAAUGUAUUAUUUACAAUGUUCUGAUCAUGUACGUCUAACUGGAGCUGUUAGAUUUUGAAAUAAUAAGUUGUAUGUGUGUGUUUUAAAAUAUUGACUUCUUCUAGUAGAAUGAUUUAUGGUUUACAAAGUGUUUUUCCAUUUAUAUUCUUUCAUUUGAUUAAUAACCAAGUUUUACAUCUCAGGAAAUGUCUUAUAAUUUUUUAAAUGAAACUCUGGCUCAGUUUACCCAACUGACUUAGAAAUAUUUAUAUAAUCAAAUUAUUUGAUGUUACAUUGUUGUUUCAUAGCUGCUAUUAUGGAUAGCUUCUAGAAAGCAUAAAUAAACCCUAAAUUGUUAUUUCUAUCUUAUAGGUGAAUGUUAUUUAUGUUUUGUAGGUGAAAUAUAAAGUUCAGAUAGAGCUUCAAUCCAAUUUUCUAGUACUAAAAUCUCAUUUCCUAUUUCUAACAAGUCCCACAAAUACUAAUUGUG